rnacentral:rRNA from 1 species
UACGGGGGGAGCAAGCGUUGUUCGGAUUUACUGGGCGUAAAGGGCGCGUAGGCGGUUCUCCAAGUCCGCUGUGAAAGCCCCGGGCUCAACCUGGGAAUGGCAGUGGAAACUAGGGGACUGGAAUCUGGCAGAGGGGGGUGGAAUGCCGCGUGUAGCAGUGAAAUGCGUAGAGAUGCGGCGGAACACCGAUGGCGAAGGCAGGUCUCUGGGCUGACACUGACGCUCAUGCACGAAAGCGUGGGGAGCAAACAGG